AUUGAACGCUGGCGGCAGGCCUAACACAUGCAAGUCGAGCGAGUGGCGGACGGGUGAGUAAUGUCUGGGAAUCUGCCUGAUGGCGGGGGAUAACUACUGGAAACGGUAGCUAAUACCGCAUACCAUCAGAUGUACCCAUAUGGGAUUAGCUAGUAGGUGAGGUAACGGCUCACCUAGGCGACGAUCCCUAGCUGGUCUGAGAGGAUGACCAGCCACACUGGGACUGAGACACGGGCCAGACUCCUACGGGAGGCAGCAGUGGGGAAUAUUGCACAAUGGGCGCAAGCCUGAUGCAGCCAUGCCGCGUGUAUGAAGAAGGCCUUCGGGUUGUAAAGUACUUUCAGCCGGGAGGCGUUACCCGCAGAAGAAGCACCGGCUAACGCCGUGCCAGCAGCCGCGGUAAUAC
rnacentral:rRNA from 1 species